AUCCAGCAGACGAGUCGCAAUUAGGACGAAACGCGAGUCCUGAAU
rnacentral:hammerhead_ribozyme from 1 species